rnacentral:rRNA from 1 species
CCCUUAGAUGUUCUGGGCCGCACGCGCGCUACACUGAUGCAUUCAACGAGUCUAAAACCUGGUCUGAUAGGGCUGGGUAAUCUUUUGAAUGUGCAUCGUGAUUGGGAUAGAUGAUUGCAAUUCUUCAUCUUCAACGAGGAAUGCCUAGUAAACGCAAGUCAUCAUCUUGCAUUGAUUACGUCCCUGCCCUUUGUACACACCGCCCGUCGCUCCUACCGAUUGAAUGUUCCGAUGAAUACCAUGGACUGAGAGUAUGAAUGGGUUCGCCUAUUUCUGCUUCUCGGGAAGUGGAGUAAAUCUUAACAUUUAGAGGAAGGAGAAGUCGUAACA